UACGUAGGGACCGAGCGUUGUCCGGAAUCAUUGGGCGUAAAGAGCGUGUAGGCGGCCCGAUAAGUCCGCUGUGAAAGUCCAGGGCUCAACCCUGGAAUGCCGGUGGAUACUGUCGGGCUCGAAUCCGGAAGAGGAGAGUGGAAUUCCUGGUGUAGCGGUGAAAUGCGCAGAUAUCAGGAAGAACACCCGUGGCGAAGGCGGCUCUCUGGGACGGUACUGACGCUGAGACGCGAAAGCGUGGGGAGCAAACGGG
rnacentral:rRNA from 1 species